rnacentral:rRNA from 1 species
AUUGAACGCUGGCGGCAUGCCUUACACAUGCAAGUCGAACGGUAACAGGUUAAGCUGACGAGUGGCGAACGGGUGAGUAAUAUAUCGGAACGUGCCCAGUAGUGGGGGAUAGCCCGGCGAAAGCCGGAUUAAUACCGCAUACGACCUACGGGUGAAAGGGGGGGAUCGCAAGACCUCUCGCUAUUGGAGCGGCCGAUAUCAGAUUAGCUAGUUGGUGGGGUAAAAGCUCACCAAGGCGACGAUCUGUAGCUGGUCUGAGAGGACGACCAGCCACACUGGGACUGAGACACGGCCCAGACUCCUACGGGAGGCAGCAGUGGGGAAUUUUGGACAAUGGACGAAAGUCUGAUCCAGCCAUGCCGCGUGCGGGAAGAAGGCCUUCGGGUUGUAAACCGCUUUUGUCAGGGAAGAAAAGCUCCGAACUAAUAUUUUGGGGUGAUGACGGUACCUGAAGAAUAAGCACCGGCUAACUACGUGCCAGCAGCCGCGGUAAUACGUAGGGUGCAAGCGUUAAUCGGAAUUACUGGGCGUAAAGCGUGCGCAGGCGGUUCUAUAAGACAGAUGUGAAAUCCCCGGGCUCAACCUGGGAACUGCAUUUGUGACUGUAG